CAGCACAGGGACAAAAUUCACCACAAUUCAGCCCAAAAUGACCCCAACUCCCCGCUAAUUACCCUCACUCAUUAAACGAGCCCCUUCAUUAAACACAGGCCUUAAUUACACCCCCCCCACUAAAACCAGGCAUUAAUUAACCCUUCCCAGGCAUGCCGGCAGGUUUGGCCCCAAAUCCCGGGAUUUUACCCCAAAACAAAGCGCACACGAACCUCCCCUCCCAGCAGCAUUUUGGGGUGGGGUCUCCCCCUUCCUCCUCCUCCUCCUCCUCCUCUUUUGCCCCAUUUUUGGGGCCUUUCGCAGCCGCCCCCCCUCCCCCCGCUGCCGUCGGCGCCGUUUUGGGGUACAAAAGUCCAUUUUUGGGGCUUUACCUGCCAGGUGGGGCAGGGGCCCGGCUGGGGGGGGCCGGGGGGGCUCCCCCAGUUCCUGCAGCGCCCGCAGGGUCUGGCGCUCCUGCUCCCAGUCCUGGGAGGCGGCGGCGGGGACGGGGACAUCCCUGGGGACAUCCCUGGGGACAUCCUUGGGGACAUCCCUGGGGACAUCGCUGGGGACAGCGCUGGGGACAGCACGGGGGGGCUGGCCCGGAGCCUCCUCGAUGACGGUAUCGUCGGAGUCACCGGAGCUGUCGGCGUCCGUGGGGACAGCGGUGGGGACAGCGGGGACACCUCCGGUGACGCCGCUCCCUACGCCGGGGACACCUCUGGGGACAUUCCCGGUGCCACCGAGGCCACUCCCGGUGAUGGUGACAUCGCUCUCCAGGCUGGUGACAGCAGUGACAGCGCUCCCAAUGCCAGGGACACCGCUCCCGAAACCGGUGACGCCAUUCCCGAUGGCGGUGACGUCAUUCCCAACACCAGUGACACCAGUGACACCAGUGACACCAUUCCCAAUGGUGGUGACACCGGUGACACUGUUCCCAGUGCUGGUGACACCGGUGACACCAUUCCCAAUGGCAGUGACACCAGUGACACCAGUGACACCAUUCCCAACACCGGUGACACCAGUAACGCCAUUCCCGAGGCUGCUGCCGCCAUUCCCGGCACUGGCCUUGCCGUUCCCGGCACUGGCCACACCGUUCCCAGCAGUGGCCACGCCGUUCCCAGCACUGGCCAUGCCGUUCCCAGCACUGGCCACGCCAUUCCCAGCACUGGCCAUGCCGUUCCCAGCACUGGCCACGCCGUUCCCAGCACUGGCCAUGCUGCUCCCGGCACUGGCCACGCCGUUAUCCUCGCUGGCCACGCCGUUAUCCUCGCUGGCCACGCCGUUAUCGUCGCUGGCCACGCCGUUAUCGUCGCCGUGGCCGCCGUUGCGCUCCACCAGGUCCCAGGAGAGCAGCUCGCUGGUGAAGCUGUGCAUCUCCCGCACGCAGCGCGACACCUCCUCCAGCGCCGCCGCCGAGCCGGGGGGCGGCCGGGCCGGACCCCUGCCCGCGCCGGUCACCCCUGCCGCGGUCACUCCUGCGGUCACUCCCGCGGUCACUCCUGCGGUCACUCCGGCCACGCCGCGGGGUUUGGGCGGGAAGUGGCACACGCGGCCCUCGGGGAUCUGGCCGAGCGCGGGGCCGAACUCGCGGUCGAAGGCGGCUCUGUCCGGGACCACCUCGAACGGCGACUCCGG
rnacentral:lncRNA from 1 species